AGAACGAACGCUGGCGGCGUGGAUAAGACAUGCAAGUCGAACGCGACUUAUUUUGUUAGCAAUAACAGAGUAAGUUGAGUGGCGAAAGGGUGCGUAACACGUGGGAAUUUACCAAGAAGUGGGGAAUAGCUCGACGAAAGUCGAAUUAAUACCGCAUGUGAUCGAGAGAUCAAAGUCGGGGACCGCAAGGCCUGACGCUUUUUGAGAAGCCCGCGGCCCAUCAGCUAGUUGGCGGGGUAAAAGCCCACCAAGGCUAUGACGGGUAGCUGGUCUGAGAGGACGACCAGCCACACUGGAACUGAGACACGGUCCAGACACCUACGGGUGGCAGCAGUCGAGAAUUUUUUCACAAUGGACGAAAGUCUGAUGGAGCGACGCCGCGUGGAGGAUGAAGGUUCUUGGAUUGUAAACUCCUGUCACUGCAGAACAGGGUACGUUCGUUAAUAGCAAACGUAUUU
rnacentral:rRNA from 1 species